rnacentral:tRNA from 1 species
UCCCUGGAGGGCUAGUGGUUAGGCCACGGCGCUCUCACCACCGUGGCCGGCGUUCGAUUCCCGGCCAGGGAG